rnacentral:rRNA from 1 species
CCCGCUGAACUUAAGCAUAUCAAUAAGCGGAGGAAAAGAAACUAACAGGGAUUCCCCUAGUAACUGCGAGUGAAGCGGGAAAAGCUCAAAUUUAAAAUCUGGUGAUGUUAGGCCAUCCGAGUUGUAAUUUAGAGAAGCGUCUUCCGCGCUGGACCGUGCACAAGUCUCCUGGAACGGAGCGUCGUAGAGGGUGAGAAUCCCGUCUUUGGCACGGACACACCAGGGCUUUUGCGAUGUCCUCUCACAAAGCCAGGUGGUUUGGAAUUGCGGUUUAAAUGGGGGGGUGAAUUCCUUCUAAGGCUAAAUAUUGGCGAGAGACCGAUAGCGCAACAAGUAGCCGUGAGGGAAAGAUGGAAAAGCACUUUGGAAAGAGAGUGAAUCAGUACUUGAAAUUGUUGAAAGGAAGACGCUUUGAAGUCAGUCCGCGGCGUCAGAGACUCAGCCUCGCCUCGGCUUGUCGUACUCUCUUGCCCGACAGCCCAGCAUCGAUCCCACCUCUCGGUAAAUGCUCUGGGAAUGGUGACACCCUUACGGCGUCUUAUAGUCUAUCGUCGCAUGCGACCUGCUGGAAUGAAGGACUCAGCACGCGCUCUCACGCGGCGGUGCUGUCGGCCAGCAUACCGGCUUGGGAUGCUGACGUACUGGCUCUAAACCACUCGUCUCGAAUCGCGCUAUAGUGAGUUCGCUUCCGCUACAUUCACUUCGCCUUAUCGACGAGCCGAUUACUAUUACCUGGGCGUCGCUCUACUACGUCGUCGUUUGAGAAAAUCCUGGUUUUACCAGACUUUAUCGUCUUGCAGAGCCUCGCCCUUUUGCCCCUUGCCAGCAUAACGAAAAGGCCCGCACCCGAUGCCCUUCCCAAUAAGUGUAUUAAACAAUAAAUACGGUAACUUUAAGGUUUUCGCCUUAUAAAAAGAGAAAUUCUUUUACCCGCCCGGUUUGAGGGGGUUGCGGAACCCCCAUGUUUGACGCCCCCGGGGCCGGCCGGAAAGAGAGUCCCCCCCGGGACAUUUACCCCCCCGGGGGGGCAAAAUAAAGGAUUUCCCG